AAUGUGUAGUUUCAUUGCAUACAGUGAAACACAAUACAAAUUGUGAGAUUUCAGAAUAUCACUGUGCAGAAUAUGAAGAUGGAUAUCCUCUGGGUUGUCUCGCCUUGUACACUGGCAGAAAUUUACCGACGUUUCAGAUUGUCUUUCCGCCAUCACCAUGGCCAUGAGAAAGCUGCGUUUUGUACUCUUCACUCUGAUUGUGGAGGCACCUUGAAACGUUUGUGAACUUUUACCAGACAACACCCAGCAACACAUCCAACUUCAUACUGAUGAUUGAACUUUAAUAUGUUCUAGUUUGGUGACUAUGUUAAGUUCCGUUUGUCAAAACAAUUUUGUACUAAAUACAAUUUCUUUUAGAUACAGGAAUUUUUUCACGUACCAUGUAUUCAUGUUCAUGUUACACUGAUUGCAUAAUUUUUACAGUUGUGAAAGACUAUGAUAGCAGACCUGAAUCAUUUGUUUUGAAAGCUCAAAGAUGUGCUUACAAUGUUUUACACCCAUGCUGUUCAAACACUAUAUAAGAAUGUCAAUACAAAAUCAUAACCAGCAAUAUAAUAAAGGUGGUAGUUCAUUAGAAAACUCAAUACUAAACACGAUUAAAAUGCAAUGUAUCAACUUUCUCAUAUCAACUGUGCUUGUCAAGGAAAAGUGCCAGGACAUCACCAAAUUCGUUUGGCAACUAUUAUUCAGGGCUGUACAGCAUUCUCUACCAACAAAUUACUUUAAUAUGAAAACAACUGUCCUAAGAAGCUUUUUAUGUUGUGUCUAACCUCUACAACUGAAUUUUAACCUACAAUAUUAUAACAAAGGCAAGAUUAUACAGGUGCAUCAAUCCAGAAGACCAUCUAAUUACAGAAUAAAUAAGGUCAGGAAAAUGGGGUUAUUUUGAUUUCCUAAGACAAGGAUGCAUAAUAUAUAUGUUCAGGAUUGGGGCCAGUGGCAGGCUCCUGUGAACAUAGUAAUGAACCAUUGGGUUCUAUAAAAUGUUGGGGACUCAGCUCCAUGAAGUAAGUAAGUAAGAAUGCAUAAUAUGAGGUUUAUAAAAACAUUUUUUCAGAAAAAAACAUUAUCACAGUGAAUUUAAACUGGAAAUAUAUGUGAAUAGUAACAGCUGAAUCAACAGUAUUAGUGACACCACCAGGAAAUAUAUAUCAUUAACAAUAAUUUAUGUUCCUGGAUGGCAGGAAUAAAGUAUCUACUAGACACAAAUAUGAAACAAUCAGGGGGUGGAAGAACUUGCAAUAUUACAAAAAUUUACACAGCUUUAGAUGGAGGCCAAAGAAAAUGAUGAACAAAUAAUGUGAAUAAGAAAAGAAAAGAA